rnacentral:rRNA from 1 species
GCACAUAAGACAUGCAAGUCGAACGGAAGUCGUUGUAAUGAUGUUGACAUGGACAGAGAACUUGUUCGAAGAAAGUGAAAAUUGACUUACACAAUGGCUUUAGUGGCGGACUGGUGAGUAACACGUAAGCAACCUGCCUAUCAGAGGGGAACAACAGUUAGAAAUGACUGCUAAUACCGCAUAUGCCUAAGUACCACAUGGUACAAUAGGGAAAGGAGUAAUCCGCUGAUAGAUGGGCUUGCGUCUGAUUAGAUAGUUGGUGGGGUAACGGCCUACCAAGUCGACGAUCAGUAGCCGGACUGAGAGGUUGAACGGCCACAUUGGGACUGAGAUACGGCCCAGACUCCUACGGGAGGCAGCAGUCGGGAAUAUUGCGCAAUGGAGGGAACUCUGACGCAGUGACGCCGCGUGCAGGAAGAAGGUUUUCGGAUUGUAAACUGCUUUAGACAGGGAAGAAAAAAGACAGUACCUGUAGAAUAAGCUCCGGCUAACUACGUG